rnacentral:rRNA from 1 species
AGUGAACGCUGGCGGUAGGCCUAACACAUGCAAGUCGAACGGCAGCACAGUAAGAGCUUGCUCUUACGGGUGGCGAGUGGCGGACGGGUGAGGAAUACAUCGGAAUCUACUUUUUCGUGGGGGAUAACGUAGGGAAACUUACGCUAAUACCGCAUACGACCUACGGGUGAAAGCAGGGGAUCUUCGGACCUUGCGCGAUUGAAUGAGCCGAUGUCGGAUUAGCUAGUUGGCGGGGUAAAGGCCCACCAAGGCGACGAUCCGUAGCUGGUCUGAGAGGAUGAUCAGCCACACUGGAACUGAGACACGGUCCAGACUCCUACGGGAGGCAGCAGUGGGGAAUAUUGGACAAUGGGCGCAAGCCUGAUCCAGCCAUACCGCGUGGGUGAAAAAGGCCUUCGGGUUGUAAAGCCCUUUUGUUGGGAAAGAAAAGCAGCAGGUUAAUACCCCGCCGUUCUGACGGUACCCAAAGAAUAAGCACCGGCUAACUUCGUG